rnacentral:rRNA from 1 species
ACGAACGCUGGCGGCGUGCCUCAUCCAUGCAAGUUGAGCGAUGAAGAUUGGUGCUUGCACCAAUUUGAAGAGCAGCGAACGGGUGAGUAACGCGUGGGGAAUCUGCCUUUGAGCGGGGGACAACAUUUGGAAACGAAUGCUAAUACCGCAUAACAACUUUAAACAUAAGUUUUAAGUUUGAAAGAUGCAAUUGCAUCACUCAAAGAUGAUCCCGCGUUGUAUUAGCUAGUUGGUGAGGUAAAGGCUCACCAAGGCGAUGAUACAUAGCCGACCUGAGAGGGUGAUCGGCCACAUUGGGACUGAGACACGGCCCAAACUCCUACGGGAGGCAGCAGUAGGGAAUCUUCGGCAAUGGACGAAAGUCUGACCGAGCAACGCCGCGUGAGUGAAGAAGGUUUUCGGAUCGUAAAACUCUGUUGGUAGAGAAGAACGUUGGUGAGAGUGGAAAGCUCAUCAAGUGACGGUAACUACCCAGAAAGGGACGGCUAACUACGUG